rnacentral:rRNA from 1 species
AGAGUUUGAUCCUGGCUCAGAUUGAACGCUGGCGGCAUGCCUUACACAUGCAAGUCGAACGGUAACAGGGAGCUUGCUCCGCUGACGAGUGGCGAACGGGUGAGUAAUAUAUCGGAACGUACCUUAGAGUGGGGGAUAACUAGUCGAAAGACUAGCUAAUACCGCAUACGAUCUACGGAUGAAAGUGGGGGCUCGCAAGAACCCUCAUGCUCAUAGAGCGGCCGAUAUCUGAUUAGCUAGUUGGUGAGGUAAAGGCUCACCAAGGCAUCGAUCAGUAGCUGGUCUGAGAGGACGACCAGCCACACUGGGACUGAGACACGGCCCAGACUCCUACGGGAGGCAGCAGUGGGGAAUCUUGGACAAUGGGGGCAACCCUGAUCCAGCAAUGCCGCGUGAGUGAAGAACGCCUUCGGGUUGUAAAGCUCUUGUUGUCACGG